UGGGGACCGGGGGGCUUGAACAGCUUGAGUGGUCGAGCCCGACCUGCAGUGGCUUGGCGGCCUUGAAGAUUCGGCACCUCGAGAGCUCGACUUCGGAGCUCGGGCAGGAGCCGGGGGAGGAGGCCGGCCAGACGACCUGGACGAUAUGACUUCGGCUACUUGUUGAGUAUCCUCCUCCACCAAUCGCCCCGCUAGGAAGGCGUCCAAGGCAGUGUUCAUGUUCUCCCUGGACGGCGUGAAAUUCUUAAGGGGCUUAAUCUGAUCCAUCUUCACUUCAAAAGCUGCAAAAAAUCCAAAAUCGGGGAAAGUCAGAGCAAUUC
rnacentral:lncRNA from 1 species